rnacentral:rRNA from 1 species
GACGAACGCUGGCGGCGUGCUUAACACAUGCAAGUCGAACGGAAAGGCCCUGCUUUUGUGGGGUGCUCGAGUGGCGAACGGGUGAGUAACACGUGAGUAACCUGCCCUUGACUUUGGGAUAACUUCAGGAAACUGGGGCUAAUACCGGAUAGGAGCUCCUGCUGCAUGGUGGGGGUUGGAAAGUUUCGGCGGUUGGGGAUGGACUCGCGGCUUAUCAGCUUGUUGGUGGGGUAGUGGCUUACCAAGGCUUUGACGGGUAGCCGGCCUGAGAGGGUGACCGGCCACAUUGGGACUGAGAUACGGCCCAGACUCCUAUGGGAGGCAGCAGUGGGGAAUAUUGCACAAUGGGCGGAAGCCUGAUGCAGCAACGCCGCGUGCGGGAUGACGGCCUUCGGGUUGUAAACCGCUUUCGCCUGAGACGAAGCGUGAGUGACGGUAAUGGGUAAAGAAGCACCGGCUAACUACGUG